GCAUCAAGGGCCCCCAAGGUUUGGCAGAUAUGACGCCUUGCGAAAUCAUCCAUAUUGCUCGAGAAAACUGCCCUUGUUCAAUAGGUGUCUCCAGAUGCCCAGUGUUCCCGACUGACCUGGUCUUCCCCUUGGACACAUCAAAUGACGUCUCCCAGCUGGAGUUUGAGAGGAGGAGAGACAUUGUUGCCUCUCUGUUGAUGAAGAUGGACAUAAGUGGGGGUA